CAGGACACCUGACAGGAAUGCAGGGUGUGGAGUGGCCCGCAGGCUGUGGGGAUGACAUGGAAGAAACUGAAAGCUGGAGAACUGCUGGGCAGAGAUGUAGAGGAUGUCUCUAGUGGUCUCCAAGUCAGCACUAGCCAGAGAUGACGGCUAUGGACAUCAGAUUGUCUCCAAGAGAAGUGAAUCUUCCUCCUGGAUUUUCUGGAAACUGGUCUGUAACAGAGUUCCUACGGAUGUCUUCUAGCAACAUGGUACUGUGUGAAUGUGUCACGUUGGCUCUAUUCUCUUUCCUCACAUUUUCAUGUCUACAAUUUCACACCAGGCUGUAUUGACUGUACCGGGCUCUUUGGAUGCUUACAUUUUUAUUCUCGUUAAUUAAAGGGGGAAGAAACAGAUACAGGUCUUUUGAAACCAUAGGAAAUUCAGAAAUUUCUUGAGUUUGUUUGGAAAGCAAGGAAUUUGCAAUCAGACACACACGCUGGUGGGUGGAGUCAAGGACUGUUUUUCAAGCAAAUCUACAGCUUGGCUUCCCCAAGACUGUUUUUUGUUUUUUUAAUCUUUUACCUACUGCACCACGUUGCUGUAAGGAUCAAAGAAAAUAAUGCUUGUGAAAGUUCUUUUUUAAACUAUAAAGGACUAUACAAACGUAAGAAAAUAAAGAAACAUAGAAAACUAUUCA
rnacentral:lncRNA from 1 species